rnacentral:rRNA from 1 species
GGGGGAAUCUUGCGCAAUGGGCGAAAGCCUGACGCAGCCAUGCCGCGUGAAUGAUGAAGGUCUUAGGAUUGUAAAAUUCUUUCACCGGGGAAGAUAAUGACGGUACCCGGAGAAGAAGCCCCGGCUAACUUCGUGCCAGCAGCCGCGGUAAUACGAAGGGGGCUAGCGUUGCUCGGAUUUACUGGGCGUAAAGGGCGCGUAGGCGGACAGUUUAGUCAGAGGUGAAAGCCCGGGGCUCAACCUCGGAAUUGCCUUUGAUACUGGCUGUCUUGAGUACGGGAGAGGUGUGUGGAACUCCGAGUGUAGAGGUGAAAUUCGUAGAUAUUCGGAAGAACACCAGUGGCGAAGGCGACACACUGGCCCGUUACUGACGCUGAGGCGCGAAAGCGUGGGUAGCAAA